UCUUAUACUCCAAUUACAUUCACAUGCCAUGCAUAUUCAUACAACAUCCUCCAAUAUCAAGUUUGGAUUCAUUUAUCCUUCCAACCAAUCCAUUAAACCAAAUUGAGCCAUAGACAUAAAUAAUCAUCAAUUCAAUAGUAUAUCACCAUAUCCACCUUCCAUAACUCAAUUACCAUAUCCACCUUCCACAAUUCAAUACAAUCAAACCAUGCAAAAUAGUCCAUAACCCUAU
rnacentral:lncRNA from 1 species